rnacentral:lncRNA from 1 species
GCCGCUUCUCGUUCCGAUUAUGGACCGAGUAAUAAACAUCCCCAACCAGGGUAGGAAUAGGAUUCCUCUGAGCAAACAACCGGAUGGCAUUAAUAUCCACAAAGUUCUUCUGAUUAGGGAACAAGAUGAUUCCAUAAAUGCUGACAGCAAGCAAAGCACAAACGGCCCUCCAAUUACCCAAAACAGCAUGCUCCUUGGCUUUAGCCUCCAAGAAACUCAGAUGAAAACCGGGCAACUUUCC